UUUUUAAACCUCAAAUCCGUUUCUCCUUUCUUCUUGAUAGAUAGUGAUUCUGUGUUAUAUUUAGUCUCUUACUACACGUGACAUCUUGUAGUCCCAUAUGUUUGUCUGUCUUGUCCCUGUCAUGGUAAAUCCCAUCCAGUGAGAAUGUUGUCAAACAUUUCACAUGACCGUAAAGCUGUCUUUAGACCAGCAUCAGGAUCCCCCAAAUGUUCCUAGCCUCACCUCUUAAGAGCUCCUUCACAUGUAUUUCAGUUAAAUUCAGUGUUGUUUGUAUAGCCGCAAAUCAUAACAAAGUCAUCUCAAGCCACUUUAUAGGCAUAAUCAUUUCAGUGUGAUCCAAUUAAAACACAUCCACAUCAUUCCAAUUAAUAAUAACUGUGUCCAUACAAGUCAAUCCAUUGGAAAUAAUUACCUAGCAAAGUAAAGUAAUAGACUGCAUCAGUAUCAGGGAUGAAACAAAUUUAUGAACACAUACAUGCUCUUUGAAAUCAAGAGUAUUCCCAUAUAGGAAUGUCGAAGGAAACAGCAGCAUGGCCAAAGGAAGCUCCUGGGAACAUACAGGAAAUGUGCAAACCCCAAACAAACCUGUGUCCUACUUUCUUUAAGGUGUUAUUAAUAAUUGGGGUUGAGUUUCCAAAAGUGAAAAAGA